rnacentral:rRNA from 1 species
UACGGAGGGGCAAGCGUUGUUCGGAAUUACUGGGCGUAAAGGGCGCGCAGGCGGCUGCUCAAGUCAGGCGUGAAGGCCUGGGCUCAACCCGGGAAUUGCGCUUGAGACUGGGCUGGCUUGAGUGCGGGAGAGGAUGGUGGAAUUCCCAGUGUAGAGGUGAAAUUCGUAGAUAUUGGGAAGAACACCAGUGGCGAAGGCGGCUCACUGGCCCGUAACUGACGCUGAGGUGCGGAAAGCGUGGGGAGCAAAGCAGG